UACGGAGGGUGCAAGCGUUAUCCGGAUUCACUGGGUUUAAAGGGUGCGUAGGUGGGUUGGUAAGUCAGUGGUGAAAUCUCCAGGCUUAACUUGGAAACUGCCAUUGAUACUAUCAAUCUUGGAUAUCGUGGAGGUCAGCGGAAUAUGUCAUGUAGCGGUGAAAUGCUUAGAUAUGACAUAGAACACCAAUUGCGAAGGCAGCUGGCUACACGAAUAUUGACACUGAUGCACGAAAGCGUGGGGAUCAAACAGG
rnacentral:rRNA from 1 species